rnacentral:rRNA from 1 species
UUUGAUGUUCUAACGUGGACCCGUAAUCCGGGUUGCGGACAGUGUCUGGUGGGUAGUUUGACUGGGGCGGUCUCCUCCUAAAGAGUAACGGAGGAGCACGAAGGUUGGCUAAUCCUGGUCGGACAUCAGGAGGUUAGUGCAAUGGCAUAAGCCAGCUUGACUGCGAGCGUGACGGCGCGAGCAGGUGCGAAAGCAGGUCAUAGUGAUCCGGUGGUUCUGAAUGGAAGGGCCAUCGCUCAACGGAUAAAAGGUACUCCGGGGAUAACAGGCUGAUACCGCCCAAGAGUUCAUAUCGACGGCGGUGUUUGGCACCUCGAUGUCGGCUCAUCACAUCCUGGGGCUGAAGUAGGUCCCAAGGGUAUGGCUGUUCGCCAUUUAAAGUGGUACGCGAGCUGGGUUUAGAACGUCGUGAGACAGUUCGGUCCCUAUCUGCCGUGGGCGCUGGAGAACUGAGGGGGGCUGCUCCUAGUACGAGAGGACCGGAGUGGACGCAUCACUGGUGUUCGGGUUGUCAUGCCAAUGGCACUGCCCGGUAGCUAAAUGCGGAAGAGAUAAGUGCUGAAAGCAUCUAAGCACGAAACUUGCC